UCCGCCGUAGCUCAGCAAUGUAGAGCGCAGAGCGCUGGAUAGCCUCUGAGGUCGUUGGCGCAAUACCAACCGGCGGAG
rnacentral:tRNA from 1 species